UACGAAGGGGGCUAGCGUUGCUCGGAAUCACUGGGCGUAAGCGCACGUAGGCGGACUCUUAAGUCAGGGGUGAAAUCCUGGAGCUCAACUCCAGAACUGCCUUUGAUACUGAGAGCCUUGAGUCCGGAAGAGGUAAGUGGAACUGCGAGUGUAGAGGUGAAAUUCGUAGAUAUUCGGCAAGAACACCAGUGGCGAAGGCGACU
rnacentral:rRNA from 1 species